AUUGAGCUGCGACAGCUAUAAUGUAAAACAUCGUCCUGGACGAGACAAUGUGUAGGCAAAUGCUUCUUUCGAGUCUACUGCUCCUCAGUCAGCUCAGAUCCCUUUCUGAAUUGUGCAGUGCGUUUUGUUAUUCGGGCAUCAGUCGAUGUCUUGACAAUGAACGUUGCUUGAUGACGUCAAUAAAACAAUUUGACAGUGCCGGAUUUGUGCAAA
rnacentral:lncRNA from 1 species